UAGGAUCAUAGCAGGUAGAGGUGUG
rnacentral:piRNA from 1 species